rnacentral:lncRNA from 13 species
AUGUCUUCAUCCUUCUUACCUUUGUCCCUCUGGUCUGGGAGAGAACUUUGCAGACCGAGACUCAGCCCAAGGAUGGAGGCAGAAGAGGCGCCAAGUCUGGAACCCACGACCGCCGCGGAGGAGGAGCUAGGCGAUGCUUGGCUGGGCACUGUAUUGCUCUCAUCCCGUUUCCUGUCUGUGAAAUGGGAAUGGCGCUCCUGCUUCUCCAUGGGAUCUUGGGAAAGGAACAUGAGGGCACUUGUGGCAGUGUUUGUGGCAUGCCUGGCCCAGAGAGAAGCUCUAGAAAUGACACCUAUGAUCCCCCAGCUUGGGGGGAUCCCCCGUUAACAAACACUCGUGCGGCCUGGGGCUGGAAUACAGCCUGAGCAUGACCUAGUCCCAGCCCCAGGAAGAUGGGCCGUCGGAAGGCCAUGGGCAUGAAAGAUGUGCUCGGGGGCCCUUCCAGGUGUCACCAAAGAGCACCGGGGUGUGGCUGAGCCGGAGCAAGGCAGGUGUGAGGCGGUGGGGCUCGGCACAGUGUCAGGCCUGCCUGGGUUCACAGCCCGGGCCUGGGUUACCAGCUGCAUGACUUCACCUCUCUGAACCUCAGUUUCCCCAAAUGUGAAAUGGAGUCGAUUCUGAUAGCAGCUUCUGCUGGGGUUGUUGAGAGGCUGAAAUGAGUAUUUGUAUGAUACAAAUACUCAGUGCCUGGCAAAAGGUAACUAAGUGUCUGUUAAAUAUGUAACUCUGUCUACACAUCAGGGGGCUGACCUCAGUGUGUUAAAUAUGUAACUGUGUCUACACAUCAGGGGGCUGACCUCAGUGUGUUAAAUAUGUAACUGUGUCUACACAUCAGGGGGCUGACCUCAGUGUGUUAAAUAUGUAACUGUGUCUACACAUCAGGGGGCUGACCUCAGUGUGUUAAAUAUGUAACUGUGUCUACACAUCAGGGGGCUGACCUCAGUGUGUUAAAUAUGUAACUGUGUCUACACAACAGGGGGCUGACCUCAGUGUGUUAAAUAUGUAACUGUGUCUACACAUCAGGGGGCUGACCUCAGUGUGUUAAAUAUGUAACUGUGUCUACACAACAGGGGGCUGACCUCAGUGUGUUAAAUAUGUAACUGUGUCUACACAUCAGGGGGCUGACCUCAGUGUGUUAAAUAUGUAACUGUGUCUACACAACAGGGGGCUGACCUCAGUGUGUUAAAUAUGUAACUGUGUCUACACAUCAGGGGGCUGACCUCAGUGUGUUAAAUAUGUAACUGUGUCUACACAUCAGGGGGCUGACCUCAGUGUGUUAAAUAUGUAACUGUGUCUACACAACAGGGGGCUGACCUCAGUGUGUUAA